CCUACGGGUGGCUGCAGUGGGGAAUAUUGGACAAUGGGCGAAAGCCUGAUCCAGCCAUGCCUCGUGUGUGAAGAAGGCCUUCGGGUUGUAAAGCACUUUCAGUGGGGAAGAAAGCCUUGGGGCUAAUACCCUCGAGGAAGGACAUCACCCACAGAAGAAGCACCGGCUAACUCCGUGCCAGCAGCCGCGGUAAUACGGAGGGUGCGAGCGUUAAUCGGAAUUACUGGGCGUAAAGCGCGCGUAGGCGGUCUGAUAAGCCGGUUGUGAAAGCCCCGGGCUCAACCUGGGAACGGCAUCCGGAACUGUCAGGCUAGAGUGCAGGAGAGGAAGGUAGAAUUCCCGGUGUAGCGGUGAAAUGCGUAGAGAUCGGGAGGAAUACCAGUGGCGAAGGCGGCCUUCUGGACUGACACUGACGCUGAGGUGCGAAAGCGUGGGUAGCAAACAGGAUUAGAUACCCGUGUAGUC
rnacentral:rRNA from 1 species